GCGGCGUGGCUAAAACAUGCAAGUCGCACGGAAAGGUUAAUUCUGAUCCUUCGGGUGACGGAGCGAUACUCGAGUGGCGAAAGGGCGAGGAAUACAUGGGCAACGUGCCUUCUGCACGAGGAUAACUGCGGGAAGCUGCAGUUAAUACUCGAUAAGACCACAGCACCUUCGGGUGCAGGGGUCAAAGGUGGGGACCUUCGGGCCUACCGGCAUUAGAGCGACCCAUGUCCUAUCAGCUUGUUGGUGAGGUAACGGCUCACCAAGGCGACGACGGGUACCGGGACUGAGAGGUUGACCCGGCGCAUCGGGACUGAGACACUGCCCGGACUCCUACGGGAGGCUGCAGUAACGAAUAUUCCGCAAUGGGCGAAAGCCUGACGGAGCGACGCCGCGUGUGGGAGGAAGCCCUUCGGGGUGUAAACCACUGUCAGGGAUUACCAAGCAAAGUUGGCGAAUAGCCUUCUGCGUUGAGGCGUCCCAGAGGAAGCCACGGCUAACUUCGUGCCAGCAGCCGCGGUAAUACGAAGGUGGCGAGCGUUGUUCGGAAUCACUGGGCUUAAAGGGCACGCAGGCGGACUGUCAAGCGUCUUGUGAAAGCCCCCGGCUUAACCGGGGAAUUGCUGGGCGAACUGGCAGUCUUGAGGCAGGUACGGGCGAGCGGAACUCUUGGUGGAGCGGUGGAAUGCGUAGAUAUCAAGAGGAACGCCGGAGGCGAAAGCGGCUCGCUGGGCCUGACCUGACGCUGACGUGCGAAAGCCAGGGGAGCGAACGGGAUUAGAUACCCCGGUAGUCCUGGCCAUCAACGAUG
rnacentral:rRNA from 1 species